rnacentral:rRNA from 1 species
UACGGAGGGGGCUAGCGUUGUUCGGAAUUACUGGGCGUAAAGCGCACGUAGGCGGCUUUGUAAGUUAGGGGUGAAAGCCCGGGGCUCAACUCCGGAAUUGCCUUUAAGACUGCAUCGCUAGAACGUCGGAGAGGUAAGUGGAAUUCCGAGUGUAGAGGUGAAAUUCGUAGAUAUUCGGAAGAACACCAGUGGCGAAGGCGACUUACUGGACGACUGUUGACGCUGAGGUGCGAAAGCGUGGGGAGCAAACAGG